AUUAACAUCAAGAGAGACUGCAUCCUGAAAUGCCUGUCUGUCUACCUCAAAGAGGACGAGAAGUUUGUCAAGUAGUACUUGAACUGCGACAUGGCUGAGUCUGAGAAGGAGAUAGCGUAGACUGUCAUGGGGAUUUACGUCAUCCGAGGAAGAUCCAGAUGACGUCAGAAUUGUGAUUGAGGGUGUGAGGUUCUCAUCGACCUGGGAAGCGGAGCCUUAGGAUGUGCCAUGUUGUUUGGUUGAUCUAUGCACUCAACCUGAGCUACACACAGCACCUCAAAUGCACUUUGAUGUGUUCCAGAAGAUUCUAAUUAACUUGGAUGGAAACAAGCUUUCACCAAACAUCCAACCACUCAAGACCAACAUUUUUCAGUGAUCAACUAAAAGGAGAAAGUGACAGUUUGCAGUCAACUGACAGAGUUUGCCCUUGUCUUUAGGGCAAAUGUCUGAACAGAGAUGUUUAUUUAACCAUUAUUUCACUCUUUUAUGGCAGCUUUGGAGCAGUGGCUUCUUCCUUGCUGAGCAGCCUUUCAGGUUAGGUCGACAUAGGACUUGUUUUACUGUGGAUAUAGAUACUUUUGUACCUGUUUCCUCCAGCAUCUUUUUUUACCUUUAUUUAACUAGGCAAGUCAGUUAAGAACAAAUUGUUAUUUUCAAUGAUGGCCUAGGAACAGUGGGUUAACUGCCUUGUUCAGUGGCAGAACGACAGAUUUGUACCUUGUCAGCUCGGUGAUUCGAUCUUGCCACCUUUCAACUACUAGUCAAACGCUUGAACCACUAGGCUAUGCUGCCACCCCAAGGUCCUUCGCUGUUGUUCUGGGAUUGAUUUCCACUUUUCACACCAAAGUGCCUUCAUCUCUAGGAGACAGAACAUGUCUCCUUCCUGAGCGGUAUGACGGCUGCGUGGUCCCAUGGUGUUUAUACUUGCAUACUAUUGUUUGUACAGAUGAACGUGGUACCUUCAGGCGUUUAGAAAUUCCUCCCAAGGAUGAACCAGACUUGUGGAGGUCUACAAUUAUUUUUCUGAGGUCUUGGCUGAUUUCUUUUGAUUUUCCCAUGAUGUCAAGCAAAGAGGCACUGAGUUUGAAGGUAGGCCUUGAAAUACAUCCACAGGUUCACCUCCAAUUGACUCAAAUUAUAUCAAUUAGCCUAUCAGAAGCUUCUAAAGCCAUGACAUUGUUUUCUGGAAUUUUCCAAGCUGUUUAGAGGCACAGUCAACUUAGUGUAUGUAAACUUCUGACCCAUUGGAAUUGUGAUACAUUGAAUUAUAAGUGAAAUAAUCUGUCUGUAAACAAUUGUUGGAAAAAUGACUUGUGUCAUGCACAUAGUAGAUGUCCUAACCGACUUGCCAAAACUAUAAUUUGUUAACAAGAAAAUUGUGGAGUGGGUGAAAAAAUGAGUUUUAAUGACUCCAACCUAAGUGUAUGUAAACUUCCGACUUCAACUGUAGGUAAGGAUAAAGUGACUAGAUAGUGGGAUAGAUAAUAAACAGUAACAGCAGCGUAUGUUAAGAGUCAAAAGAGAUUAGUGCAAAAAGGGUCAAUGCAGAUGUUUCGGGUAGCUAUUGGUUAACUAUUUAACUUACUAUUUAGCAGUCAUAGCUUGGGGGUAGAAGCUGUUCAGGGACCUGUUGAUUGCAGACUUGGUGCAUCGGUACAGCUAGCCGUGCGGUAGCAGAGGGAACAGCCUAUGACAUUGGUGGCUGGAGAAUUAGACAAUCUUUAGGGCCUUCCUCUGACACCGCCUGGAAUAGUCUUGGAUGGCAGGGAGCUCGGCCAUAAUUAUUUUAUGUUCAUUACAGCUCAUUCAGAAGAACCAGUUGAUAUUCUAUUUAGAUUUUGUUGUUUUACAAUUUCAGAACACCAUUGUGUCUUGGCACAGUGCAAUCUUCAAGUUUGUUAUUUGGUUUACUUGAUAUACUUUCUGUCUUAAAGGUUGGUAAUUGAGAAAAAACACUGUCUUUUAAACAUUGCACAGCUUUGUUCACUUGUAAAGUAUUUCAUGUACAGUGGCUUGCGAAAGUAUUCACCCCCUUGGCAUUUUUCCUAUUUUGUUGCCUUACAAC
rnacentral:lncRNA from 1 species